rnacentral:rRNA from 1 species
AGAGUUUGAUCAUGGCUCAGAACGAACGCUGGCGGCACGCCUAACACAUGCAAGUCGAGCGCCCAGCAAUGGGAGCGGCGGACGAGUGAGUAACACGUGGGAACAUGCCUUUCGGUUCGGCACAACUCAGGGAAACUUGAGCUAAUUCCGGAUGCGCCCGUAAGGGGAAAGAUUUAUCGCCGAAAGAUUGGCCCGCGUAAGAUUAGCUAGUUGGUGAGGUAAUGGCUCACCAAGGCAACGAUCUUUAGCUGGUUUGAGAGAACGACCAGCCACGUUGGGACUGAGACACGGCCCAAACUCCUACGGGAGGCAGCAGUGGGGAAUCUUGGACAAUGGGGGAAACCCUGAUCCAGCGAUGCCGCGUGAGUGAUGAAGGCCUUCGGGUUGUAAAACUCUUUUACCCGGGAAGAUAAUGACUGUACCGGGAGAAUAAGCUCCGGCUAACUUCGUGCCAGCCGCCGCGGUAAUUC